GACGAACGCUGGCGGCGUGCUUAACACAUGCGAGUCGAACGGAAAGGCCCUGCUUUUGUGGGGUGCUCGAGUGGCGAACGGGUGAGUAACACGUGAGUAACCUGCCCUUGACUUUGGGAUAACUUCAGGAAACUGGGGCUAAUACCGGAUAGGAGCUCCUGCUGCAUGGUGGGGGUUGGAAAGUUUCGGCGGUUGGGGAUGGACUCGCGGCUUAUCAGCUUGUUGGUGGGGUAGUGGCUUACCAAGGCUUUGACGGGUAGCCGGCCUGAGAGGGUGACCGGCCACAUGGGGACUGAGAUACGGCCCAGACUCCUACGGGAGGCAGCAGUGGGGAAUAUUGCACAAUGGGCGGAAGCCUGAUGCAGCAACGCCGCGUGCGGGAUGACGGCCUUCGGGUUGUAAACCGCUUUCGCCUGUGACGAAGCGUGAGUGACGGUAAUGGGUAAAGAAGCACCGGCUAACUACGU
rnacentral:rRNA from 1 species